rnacentral:rRNA from 1 species
UACGUAGGGCGCAAGCGUUAUCCGGAAUUAUUGGGCGUAAAGAGCUCGUAGGCGGUUUGUCGCGUCUGCCGUGAAAGUCCGGGGCUCAACUCCGGAUCUGCGGUGGGUACGGGCAGACUAGAGUGCAGUAGGGGAGACUGGAAUUCCUGGUGUAGCGGUGAAAUGCGCAGAUAUCAGGAGGAACACCGAUGGCGAAGGCAGGUCUCUGGGUAGUAACUGACGCUGAGGAACGAAAGCGUGGGUAGCGAACAGG